AUUGAACGCUGGCGGCAGGCCUAACACAUGCAAGUCGAGCGGGGUUUUCGGACCUAGCGGCGGACGGGUGAGUAAUGCGUAGGAAGCUACCCGAUAGAGGGGGAUACCAGUUGGAAACGACUGUUAAUACCGCAUAAUGUCUACGGACCAAAGUGUGGGACCUUCGGGCCACAUGCUAUCGGAUGCGCCUACGUGGGAGUAGCUAGUUGGUGGGGUAAUGGCUCACCAAGGCGACGAUCCCUAGCUGGUUUGAGAGGAUGAUCAGCCACACUGGAACUGAGAUACGGUCCAGACUCCUACGGGAGGCAGCAGUGGGGAAUAUUGGACAAUGGGCGCAAGCCUGAUCCAGCCAUGCCGCGUGUGUGAAGAAGGCCUUCGGGUUGUAAAGCACUUUCAGUAGGGAGGAAGGGUGUUGUGUUAAUAGCACAGCAUUUUGACGUUACCUACAGAAGAAGCACCGGCUAACUCUGUGCCAGCAGCCGCGGUAACAC
rnacentral:rRNA from 1 species